rnacentral:rRNA from 1 species
GACGAACGCUGGCGGCGUGCUUAACACAUGCAAGUCGAACGGUAAGGCCCUUCGGGGUACACGAGUGGCGAACGGGUGAGUAACACGUGGGUGAUCUGCCCUGCACUUCGGGAUAAGCCUGGGAAACUGGGUCUAAUACCGGAUAGGACCACUGCCUGCAUGGGUGGUGGUGGAAAGCUUUUGCGGUGUGGGAUGGGCCCGCGGCCUAUCAGCUUGUUGGUGGGGUGAUGGCCUACCAAGGCGACGACGGGUAGCCGGCCUGCGAGGGUGACCGGCCACACUGGGACUGAGAUACGGCCCAGACGCCUACGGGGGGCAGCAGUGGGGAAUAUUGCACAAUGGGCGCAAGCCUGAUGCAGCGACGCCGCGUGAGGGAUGACGGCCUUCGGGUGGUAAACCUCUUUCAGCACCGACGAAGCGCAAGUGACGGUAGGUGCAGAAGAAGGACCGGCCAACUACGUGCCAGCCGCCGCUGUAA